rnacentral:rRNA from 1 species
GACGAACGCUGGCGGCGUGCUUAACACAUGCAAGUCGAACGGAAAGGCCCUGCUUUUGUGGGGUGCUCGAGUGGCGAACGGGUGAGUAACACGUGAGUAACCUGCCCUUGACUUUGGGAUAACUUCAGGAAACUGGGGCUAAUACCGGAUAGGAGCUCCUGCUGCAUGGUGGGGGUUGGAAAGUUUCGGCGGUUGGGGAUGGACUCGCGGCUUAUCAGCUUGUUGGUGGGGUAGUGGCUUACCAAGGCUUUGACGGGUAGCCGGCCUGAGAGGGUGACCGGCCAAAUUGGGACUGAGAUACGGCCCAGACUCCUACGGGAGGAAGCAGUGGGGAAUAUUGCACAAUGGGCGGAAGCCUGAUGCAGCAACGCCGCGUGCGGGAUGACGGCCUUCGGGUUGUAACCCGCUUUCGCCUGUGACGAAGCGUGAGUGACGGUAAUGGGUAAAGAAGCACCGGCUAACUACGUG